rnacentral:rRNA from 1 species
CACGUAGGGGGCAAGCGUUGUCCGGAUUUAUUGGGCGUAAAGAGCUCGUAGGCGGUUCGGUAAGUCGGGUGUGAAACCUCCAGGCUCAACCUGGAGACGCCACCCGAUACUGCUGUGACUAGAGUCCGGUAGGGGAGCGUGGAAUUCCUGGUGUAGCGGUGAAAUGCGCAGAUAUCAGGAGGAACACCGGUGGCGAAGGCGGCUCACUGGACUGGUAUUGACGCUGAGAAGCGAAAGCAUGGGGGAGCGAACAGG